UACGUAGGGUGCAAGCGUUAAUCGGAAUUACUGGGCGUAAAGCGUGCGCAGGCGGCUUUGCAAGACAGAUGUGAAAUCCCCGGGCUUAACCUGGGAACUGCGUUUGAAACUGGAAGGCUAGAGUGUGGCAGAGGGGGGUGGAAUUCCACGUGUAGCAGUGAAAUGCGUAGAUAUGUGGAGGAACACCGAUGGCGAAGGCAGCCCCCUGGGCUAACACUGACGCUCAUGCACGAAAGCGUGGGGAGCAAACAGG
rnacentral:rRNA from 1 species